UAUCUCGGCUCUUGCAUCGAUGAAGAACGUAGCGAAAUGCGAUACUUGGUGUGAAUUGCAGAAUCCCGUGAACCAUCGAGUCUUUGAACGCAAGUUGCGCCUGAAGCCAUUAGGCUGAAGGCACGUCUGCCUGGGCGUCACGCAUCGCGUCACCCACUCCCCCGUGCCCCAAGUGGGCAU
rnacentral:rRNA from 1 species